AUGCAUUCCUGCAGAACAUGCCAUUUUAGAAGGAAAGUAUUUCAAGUACCUGAAAGGCUGAAAGUGUUGAAAAGAGAUAUGAUGGCAAUUCUCCCUGAAGAUUUUAUCCCUGUAGAGACAUCAUCUAUUCCUUCCAAAAGCACAAUUGUGCAAUAUGAGCUUUAUGACUCUUGGGAAGAUGAAAUACUUUGGAGGAGACGAAAUCAAUAA
rnacentral:rRNA from 1 species